GACGAACGCUGGCGGCGUGCCUAAUACAUGCAAGUAGAACGCUGAAGGAGGAGCUUGCUUCUCUGGAUGAGUUGCGAACGGGUGAGUAACGCGUAGGUAACCUGCCUGGUAGCGGGGGAUAACUAUUGGAAACGAUAGCUAAUACCGCAUAAGAGUGGAUGUUGCAUGACAUUUGCUUAAAAGGUGCACUUGCACCACUACCAGAUGGACCUGCGUUGUAUUAGCUAGUUGGUGGGGUAAGGGCUCACCAAGGCGACGAUACAUAGCCGACCUGAGAGGGUGAUCGGCCACACUGGGACUGAGACACGGCCCAGACUCCUACGGGAGGCAGCAGUAGGGAAUCUUCGGCAAUGGACGGAAGUCUGACCGAGCAACGCCGCGUGAGUGAAGAAGGUUUUCGGAUCGUAAAGCUCUGUUGUAAGAGAAGAACGAGUGUGAGAGUGGAAAGUUCACACUGUGACGGUAUCUUACCAGAAAGGGACGGCUAACUACGUGCCAGCAGCCGCGGUAAUACGUAGGUCCCGAGCGUUGUCCGGAUUUAUUGGGCGUAAAGCGAGCGCAGGCGGUUAGAUAAGUCUGAAGUUAAAGGCUGUGGCUUAACCAUAGUAGGCUUUGGAAACUGUUUAACUUGAGUGCAAGAGGGGAGAGUGGAAUUCCAUGUGUAGCGGUGAAAUGCGUAGAUAUAUGGAGGAACACCGGUGGCGAAAGCGGCUCUCUGGCUUGUAACUGACGCUGAGGCUCGAAAGCGUGGGGGAGCAAACAGG
rnacentral:rRNA from 1 species